CACCAACCCAGUCCUGCCGUAAAUUAGAAACUUGGGCUCUCCCCACGCACCAACACAGGUUUUUGUCAGAAAUGCUAUUUCAGUUUGUUCCAGUAUUUUAGGAUGAACUCCCCAGGAAAGAGAUGAAUGCCUUUUGUUACCAAUAUGUUGCAAGCCAUGCUUUACUGUCCUUUGUCCAUCCAAAGUUCCACAGAACACUUCCACCGCGGGAAGCUGUAACCUAGAGCUGUGGGGUCAGAGCUCAGAGGUGCUCUUAGGCUAUCUACUGCCACCGCUUUAAAACCACCCUUUUAAUCUGUACUACUCUGUCAAAGGGUAAGUGUGACAGAUAGCUCCAGUAACACCAUGUCUAUGCAUUCUUCAAGAAACUUCAGUGGCAUAAUUUGUUUCAGAAAAAGAGCUUGUCUAGUUUUAUUUUGUCAUUUAGCUAUAUCUAAUACAGACUUCCUGUCUCCACAAUAAUUACUGCAAAUAUAACAUAACAAAUGUAAACAAUGUAUUCAUAUCUCAUAUAGUUGAAGUAAAGUAGAUGAAAACAGAAAAGCCAGCCUCAUUCAAAGCAACUGUCCCUAGGCUGGUAUCUUCUAUCUGACAGUGGCCAAUAGUAGAGAUACAGGUAAGAGGUAUAAAAACAUGUAAACCACCAUUAAGUGGCCUUUCUUUCUGUUUUCAGCUCCUGAAGUGCAGGGGAAAAGCUCUCAGGUGAAAACUGUAUCCACUGCAACUCUAAUAGCCACAGAUGUACCAUUUCUCUUUGUAUUUGUCAAAUAGCUUUUUGAGCUGUUGGUACACCUGCCUUCAGGAGUGGUGGGGAGGUCUCAGAUUUGCACAAAAGCUAGACAGGAACUUUUUCUCAGUGGUUUUAAAUCCAGUGCUUAAUAAUUUUACAGGGUACUUGAAUUUUUGUCAUCUAAGAAAUAGUGAAUGAUCAUGCCCUAUUUGUUUCCAGCAUAUCAGUUUAUAGACCUCUCUCAUAUGAUUUCAGAACCAUCCUUUUUCCUGAACUGUGGAGCUUUGGUCUUUUACUUGUUUCCAAACCUCUUUGAGCUAGCAUUGCUCAAAGGUGCAGUCCUUCCACUCCCUGUUGCUUUUCCCUGUCCUUUGGCCACAUCCCUUUCUUGUGCUAGCAUGCUGCAAACUCCAUCAGAAUAAUCCAACAAAAAUUAUUAAUUUUGUUUCAGAUCAUUUCCCCCACUGAGUUCUGAACAGCUGCACAAACACCAAAACGGAGAGGCUUUCAGGGGUGACAGUGAGUAGCUGCAGGCAAAAGAGCUUGGGCCUAAUUGCAACAGCAAAGCUGGCCAAAAUGGUUUAUGAAGCUAUAGCUGAAGGCAGAGUUUCCUAGGACUGGCUGCCACUUUCCUCCCUCUGUCAUGUAUCCCCCUGCCCACGUCCACAGAUGUGGCUGUGCCAUUUCAGCUCAGUCACCUGGCAGGAAACCCUUCCUUUUUUUUUUUUUUUUUUUUUUUUUUUUUUUUUUGUGUGUGUGUGUGUGUGUGUUUUACCAGGUUACUGUGCUGAACCUGCUCAGUGACAGCAUGAAGAAGUGUGGAGUGGGAUUACAGCACUAAAUCCAUAGUCUGCUCUGGGAUUGCAGCCUGAGCCCCUCAAACGUUCCCCAACUUUUCAUCCUGCCCUAGCCAUGAACAAGAGGCCUGAGAUCUCUUUCCUGAGUGGAAAACCCUUUCCUGAGUGCAGAUUUACCAGUGAAUACAGAAGGUGAAUGAGACUUCCUUUCAUUAGAGGUUAAAAUGGUGGCUGAAAAUGUCUUUAGGCACCAGCAAAUACAAAUUGCUUAUCUGGACAGUGGCACUCCCUCUGCAGCAAGCAAGACAACGAGCAAACUCCUGGGCAGAACGGGCCACUGGCAUCCACGGGUGAGCUCUCGGACUAAAUGGCACUGACCAACAGCACAGACCUCCUGCCAGAGCCUGCAGGACAUCAUGGCUCCUGGUUUAUUAUAUACCUCUGCAGGACAUCGAAGGGUUGAGGUGGGGGUGCAGGACCAGAGAGUCUGUUUUCUGUGCAGUCUGAGUCACCACUAAGCACCUGGAGGCAGGGAGCCCAAUAGGGCUGCUGUAUUUAUCAUGACAAAAUGUGAAGGUCUUCCAUAACUAACUCUGCUUUUUACUUCUUAGUCUCUUUUUUAAAAAAUAGCUUUGCUUUUCUCCAUUUUUGAAACAACCUUUGUACCUCUGGGAUACAAGCAUUAGAAUGCAGACAUAACUGUAUUGUGGAGGAAGACCAGUUCCUUUCAUCUUACUCCUGCCUUCACAUAUCUGUUAUCCAGUUGAGAAUAUUAAAUUCAAUUCUAAUAAUUUCUUGCUUGAUGAUUAAGCACCUCUUGUGCCAUCACUAAAUGUCUUUCUAGUGUCUUCUUAUGUUGCCAUUUGGCAAAAGAAUUUUGUAGAGGUUGAAACAUACCUUGAUUUUCACCACAUGAGACAAGACAAAGAAGGGAGCUCACAAACUGGAACUACUGUGGGCAGACAGACCAUAAGUAACUCUAGAAUGCCCCUGACAGGUAAUUUAUAUCAAAAAAGUAGAAUCCCAAAUAUCCUACUGUCUUCACGCACACACAUGAAUCUUGUUUGUAUGGAAAAAUCACACAAAAAUUCCUUACUGAAACAGUGUCAUUUUGAGGACCUCAGGAUUUGUAAUUUUGUUUUACCCAAAGAUGGAAAAAGCUCCUGUAGCAGUGUGUGCAGCUUGCCCAGGUGGACCUCAGUUAAUUAGACAAAGUAUGGGUUUCCACACUAAACAUUUAAGAUUUCUUUUUGUCAUCAGCAGGAAUUGAACCCAGACUUCAAGACAGGAAACUUUUAUGGUACCAAUGCAAUCCCUGCUGCUUGGGAAACCCAUUUGAUAGAUCCAUCUGGACCUUCUCCUAAUGUGACACUGUCACAGAUGACCUGGGGCUUUUUGCACAGCCUGCACUUUCCUUUUUAAAAACACAGUUUUGAACAUGUCAGCUUCAUUUAAUGCCUGGCUGUUAAGUGAGUCAAAAUAAAUUUAAAUUUUGAAGUAUUUGUGAUGAUGAGAAGUGAAAGUGGGAAGGUAACAAAAAUAGGAUGCGAGCCUUCUAAAGAACAUUUCCAGGCACUCAGUGUAAUGCUGGAUAGUCAUGCAGCUCCACUGAAAGACAUUACUGAUGCAUAUACACAUACUGAUGUAUGUGAAACCUUAUUCCAAGACACACACUGAUGUAGAAUGAAAGUGGUGAUGAAAAAGAAUGUCAGAAGCAUGAGAAACUGCAACUGAAAGCAAUUAGAAGCCAAGCUUGGAUUCAGACUAUUUUCAGACUCACAGAUAAAUAUGAAAAACUACUUUCUCCUCUUCCAAAUGUAAGUCCUUCACGGAGCCACACAAACAUGUGCCUUUGUUUAGAUCAGACCAAUAUUUUUGUGUGAGGAUGUGAAAUUUCAUCAAGAGGUCCUUAAUAACAUAAAUGGCAUAAAAUUCCUCUUCUUUGGUGUGUUCAAAUGUAAUAUUUUCUAAUAAAAACAAUCACAGAAAAGGUGGCCUUAUAAUGAACACUCUUUUGAGUGAUUGGCAUAUAUUAAAUCAAGAAGAAAAUGGUUAACUUUCAAAAUAUGCUUAGUGAAUUCUAGUGAUGAUGAAAUGGAUGAAAAGAAUAAAUAAAUGUAGAUUAGAGAGAGAAUAAGUAAAUGUAGAUUAGAGAGAGAAUCAAAGACUUGGGUAAAAAGGGGAACUGAAUGCAUGGAGAGAAAUGUAGAAGAAAGGUGGUUUAUCUUUCACACGUGAAAUUUAUUUUAAAAGAUAUUUCAUAAAAGACACUCCAAUUAAUGUCUCUCUUCAAUAAGGGCUCCAAACCCUAUUUUAUGACAGUGAUACAAUAUGCUGGAGGGAGAAAAGCUUCUUUUCUUCCGGUGCUUGUCAUGCCCAUGUCCAUAUGCUGAACUGAAUGACCAGAGGAAUAGCUUUUGGAAGGGACCAGUUUCUCUUCAGGGCCAUCAGCUUUCCUGCUGGAUGCCCCACAGCUGAGACAACUGAAUCUUGCUUUGAAGCAUUGCACCAACAUGGACACUUAUUUUUCUUCUUCUCUUUUCUCUGAUGUCCUCGGCCCUGUGGAAGUGUGCUGAGCUAAAACAAGGGGCACCCUGAUGAUGAAGAAAUUAUCGUGACCUGCGCAAUUGUCAGGAAAAAAAUUGAGAGAAAACGCAGUGUCAGCAGAUAGAGCCCAGUUCUGACUCAUACUGAGGACAAGAGUUCAACAAGCCUGAAUCCCAAACCAGAUUCUGAGUAAGACUCAAAUUUUGAGUGAUGUAAGGGAUUUCAUAAACAUUGCUGGUGGACAGGAUUUGCUUUAUUAGGCCAUUGGUAUAUGAAUAUACCAUGAGGUCAUCAUGGCUUCCAUUUCCACAUGACCUUGAGUCCUAGGGGAUUUUUAGUUGCUUGAAUAAAGCCUAAAAUAAAUAUAAAUAAAUUCCAGGAUGAUAUGAGGAGGAGAAUAUUGCAGCAAAACAAUAAGAACUAAUAUAAGUCCAUACAAUGCGUUCUACAAAACCUCAAAGGAAUAAUAUAAACACCAAGAUGAUAAGUGGAGUUGCUGAGACAUUACUUGAGUUGGAGCUGUCUCUCCAAGGCUGGAGGGAGAGUACUGAUAUUCAUUGCUGCCUGUGAAAAGGGCUUCUUAGCAGAAGAUCAUGAUGUUUCUUUAUUGUUCUCAUUAACUCAAAGCAAUAAAAAACUCCCAGCUGUAUAACACAAUAUAAUGGGACAGUGAGAGACAAAACAGAGCUCUAACAAGAUGCAGCUCUUGCCAAUGCUCCGAGCUCUUGGAGGGAACUCUGCCCUGAAGCAGCCUCCCUGCAUCAGUCUGGGCUUGGAGGAAGGGAGAGGAUGUCACUGCAAAGAGCUCUCAAACCCUGAUCCCUGGGGCAAGCUGCUGGUGGUUGGGAGGAGUUGCCUGGUAACAAGGAGCUGCCUCCUUCUCAUUUCCAGCUGUUAAACUGCACUGGAAGGAGCUGAAUAAUACCAGAAUAGAAACCUAGCUUAUAAUUUGUGGUUUAAUGCAAUGAAAUAGGAGUAAUGUUAUGGCAUCUCUAAAUUGUUUAGGACACGAGUCUUUGCAGUAGCGUUCCAGCAGGUCUAUGUUGCAAAAUGGAAACAGAGCUUUCUGUAAUCUUUUAUUGAUCAGCUUCUUGUUCCAACAAGAUUUGUCAGUGGAGUGCUGGUGGUGUAACCUCUGGCAUGUAUAAAGGAUGGGGGAAAGGUAAUAGCAGAGGGAAUUUUAACAGAGCAGCACAAGAAAGAGACAUCUCCAAGAAAGCAAAAAUUCAUUUUAUGGAAAGUCUAUGAAAAUAUAUGUAUUAAAACAUCAGCAUUCAUAUUUCAUACUUGAAUAGAAAAUACAAUAUCUGAUGUGCUGAUUUCUCCAUCCAAA